GCGAGAGAAGUGAACGGAGUAAAAAAAUUGUUAGACUGAAAGAAAUUCGAGGAAUGCGAAAUAAUGGGCAGAUUUUAAGGAUAAUACUCAACUAUUCCUACGCAAUAGUCGGGAAUAAGUUCCAGUUGUGUUUCCUUGUGUAUAGAACAAGCGAUUAAGUGUGUGUCAACAGCAACUUGAGUACGUCCCAGUUGUGUAAAAGCUUCUAUUGCCAUGGCUCCAAUUACCGAACCUCAAAUUUGUAACUACUUCGUCGACAGCCGGAGUAAAACCCGUAUCUGUAUUCAAAAAUUGUAUUAAACACACCCAUCGCUAAUGCUAUCAACAUCCAGGAUAUGGACAGGAAUAAAUACGAGGCUAUUAAAUAACGAGACUGAUUACGAAAAAGGGUUAUAUUUUAAAAAUUACGGUACAACGAUAUGCCCCCCUUCAAUAUACUCUGCUUGGCUCCUCACACACCUUUCCAUGCGUUUUUUCCAUUGUUCGA